AUGCUACUCCCUCCGUCCCAAAAUAAGUGACUCAAGUUUGUACUAACUUCGCACUAACUUUAGUACAAAGUUGAGUCACUUAUUUUGGGACGGAGGGAGUACUAA
rfam:Triticum aestivum genome assembly, contig: Triticum_aestivum_CS42_TGACv1_scaffold_543364_6DS